AGCAGAAAACAGUGAGGUCAAGAUAAGAGAGGAAAGAACUCAUUGUUUACAUGAUCAGGAAAUGGAAUGCCUAAGCUGUCCAGUUUCAGGGCUUCUCUUUCUUGGCAGGGAAGCAUGAGAUGCCAUAGCUCUCUGCUCUCUUCAACCCUCUGCCAAAGGAGAGUUGCCCUGUAACAGGACUCAGCUUAUGGUUCACGAUUGUAAAGACAGAUUCAAGCUUACACUGCAGCUUAGUGUUGUACCGGCCUAUGGUGGUGCAAGGUUUGAAUGCUUCGUAUUUUUACUGGCUUUAUUGCAUGUUUGUUCAAGCAGCCAAAGGAAAUUAGUUGAUUUCCUUUUUCAUGCCUUCCUUUGUGGUUUGCUAUUUCCUGAAUGUCUAGGCACUGGAUGCUUUUGGUUUUCUG
rnacentral:precursor_RNA from 1 species